rnacentral:rRNA from 1 species
GCCUCAAUUAGAUUAUUUGAGGUAUUACCUGCUCAAUGCAAAAGUAAAUAGCCGCAGUAUUUUGACUGUGCAAAGGUAGCAUAAUAAAUUGGCCUUUAAUUGAGGUCUGGAAUGAAUGGUUUGACAAGAAUUAGUCUGUCUUUAUUUAAUUGUUUUUGAAAUUAAAUUGUUUGUAAAAAUGCAAACAUUGGAGAGAGGGACGAAAAGACCCUAUAGAUCUUGAAAUAUUAUUCUAUUUAUUUUAUAGGUAGGUUUUUUUAUUUGGGGAAAAUCUUGAANUGAGGAAAUUUCGGUUAAUUGAGAAAAGUUAAAAUAUUGAUUUUUGAUCCAUAAAAUAUNAAAAAAUGAAAAAGUUACCUUAGGGAUAACAGGACAAUGAUUUCCUAAGAGGCCUUAUUUUAGGAAGCGUUUGUUACCUNGAUGUUNAAUUAAGUUNUCUA